rnacentral:lncRNA from 1 species
UCUUCGCACCAGUAUUUUUGCAGAACAGAAUUUCGUUUAAAAACUUUUUAAGGUUGAAAUAUUAUAUAUUCGAAUUAUUUAGAUUGAAAUAAAGAAUACUUCUCGAAGAAUUUUCUCGAAUAAGGAGAUAAAAAGAAAGAAGAAUUUCAUUCUAGCCAACGUAGCAUAUAAAGGAACUGCUGAUUAAUCUAGAAAAAGAAGAUUACAUUGGUAAUCAUAUUUGAGAAGGGAAAGGGAAGAAAAAAAGAUUUCGUUCUCGUUACGUUCGAGAACUGACGUAAUUAAAGAUAAAAAAAGAAAAGAUGGGAGGAGGUAGAGAAAGGAGAAGAGAAAAUAUUUGCAUUUUUAAAUCUGUGAUACGAAACGAUAAACGAAGGGAGCGUGUCCUGAUCCGUGAAACGAAAACCGUGCGUGUGCGCGUGUGUGUAUAUUUUACAAGCGAUAGCUAUUUCUAGAUGGCAGAACCGACGAAUCGACGUUUCGCCCUGGGUUUAUAAUAUCCCUCUUCACGGAUCCAGCAUGCAAACGCGUAGUUUUUUAAAACUCGGAUCGAUUCCGGUUUCGAAAACGGGAUAAACUUGGACGAAAAUCAUUCGGUACAGGUGGUCCCGCGACGGGAAACGCAGCUGCCCGGAAUGUUUUUUCGCUUCUGCUCGGCUUUCCCCGGUAAAUCGAUAGAACGAGGUCGAGCGGAGCCCCGAGGACCGCGAUUCUUUUUCUCUUCGAUCCGAAGCGGAAUCGGACGAAACCCGUGGGGAGGAUGACGAGCGCCCCGGUUAAUUAUUCAGAAAUUUCACGAACUUAUAAAUAAUUGUGCGCGUUAUAAUUGUAUCAACGUUGGAUAGGCUCUGCCCACUUUUCGUGACUGUGCGCGUGGAAUCGAAUCGACGCGAUCUGUCGUCCAUCUCGAUGACUCACCGCAACCCUCUUUCAAGACAUUCCUCGAGAAGAAAAGUUUUCUGCGGGGUUCCACCGAUGACUCACCCUCCAGAUUCAUCCCCUCGAUUCCGACGGUUCGACGAAUUCGCUUUCGCAGCCACGAAAUUGUCUCGAUGUAUAUAUCGUGCAUUAUAGGAAAUUUUUGACUCCUACUUUUUGCUUUAGAGAAAGUAAUAUCUCUAGCGUUGCGACAGAGAGAGAGACAGAGAGAGCGUACAGACGAGAUACGUCACGUGUCUCCUUACGAAUGCGAGAUACGUCGUGUGCAAAAUUCGUACGAAAACCUGGGCUGACGACUCGAUCGCAAACGAUAUAAUAAACGUUUUAGCCGUGUUGCACAUGGGAGCAAUUUGUACAACAAAUUUGUACGAAUACAUAAUAGAGAAGCAAAAGUGACGAGAUAAAAAUGAUACACGUAUUCGAAGUCGAGCUGGAAAUGGAUAAGAAAAAUAGAACGUGAGAUUGUUAUUAUCCAUUAAUCAGAGGGAUAAAAUAUUCCACCGGAAGGGAUUAAAAAAUAUUAUACGAUAUGUAAUGCAUGUUUGAUGCGCAAGUGAUUGAUUUCUGGGAACAAAAUUUCCAUAUAGGCAAAACAGAAGAAAGACGGCAGCAGGCAAGCAGCAGGCAGGGCAGCGAACAGGUCAUCUAGCUACCAAGAGAGCAAAACCAACGUGGCGCAGAAUGCACAAUAAGUGUUGGGUUACGAUAAACUGGUCAGAAACAAUAGAGGUUGUCGGAGCAAUGUGCUCCAAACUGUGCAGCCAAGCUUCAACUAUCAAGUUACCGGCGAAUAUAGCAGCCGAGUUACGACAGUCACAUAGCAAGAAGGUUAGCCUAAAGGAUCGAGACCAAGGAUCAUUUGAGUGGUUAGCUUUGCUGGCGGACGACAACGUUUCACGUGACACACUUAUUGCAACAUCCAGAUAUUUUCCGCGUCCUCUCUGAUAACACGCUAUUUAUUUAUUUAUUUAUUAAUCGAUGAAUUAAGAUUUGAAAAAAAAAUAAAAACACAAACUAUGUUUAGCUUUACAAAAAUAAAUAUUA